CAUCCAGUCUUCCAUCCUCCAUUGGAGAUAAGAAAUGUUGAAUAAGAAUCUACAACAAGAAAUAGGCACCAGACAGUGGCAAUGAGAAAAGUGAGGAUCCAUGCCUUCUGGACCUCUCAGUACACUCUGCCUACCACAGCACCUGAAACAAGGCACACGUUAAUGCAAAGCUGUUUAGUUGGGAAUGAGCCACUUAAGAGGCUCUUCGAGCAAAAACAUCAGUCUAUGCAGCAGACAUAGGCCCACAAAGACUGUCAUCUUGACUCCCUAGAGGAUUAUAACCUCUGAAUGGAUUCUUUCAUGAGCAUUUAUCAUCCUUAAAACCCUGAUCAGAAAUAUCAAAUGAUCAUAGCUGCAACCUGCCUGCUUUUGCACCAUUGACAGCCAGUAUUUGCAUCUUGAGAAGAGAGAGUUUCAUUGAUGAAAGAGUAUCAAGAGUAUGUGAGGAACACGAGCAGUGCUUCUGAGGACAAGACUGUGCUGGACAACGGGCUUGUCCCACGAUGCGGGAAGGACGGGUAUAGCAUGGGAAGAGGAAAGAACAGGGCUUGAUACUCCCCCAGCUAAUUAAUGACCAGGGGAAAAGGAAUGUCAGUCACGGCCCACCUAGGGUGCAUUUAAGCACGUAACAUAGACAACAAAAACCGAAGG